rnacentral:misc_RNA from 1 species
GAUGAAGAACGUAGCGAAAUGCGAUAAGUAAUGUGAAUUGCAGAAUUCAGUGAAUCAUCGAAUCUUUGAACGCACAUUGCGCCCGCCAGCAUUCUGGCGGGCAUGCCUGUUCGAGCGUCAUUUCAACCCUCGACUUCCCUUUGGGGAAAUCGGCGUUGGGGACUGGCAGCAUACCGCCGGCCCCGAAAUGGAGUGGCGGCCCGUCCGCGGCGACCUCUGCGUAGUAAUCCAACCUCGCACCGGAACCCCGACGUGGACACGCCGUAAAACACCCCACUUUCUGAACGUUGACCUCGGAUCAGGUAGGAAUACCCGCUGAACUUAAGCAUAUCAAUAAGCGGAGGA